rnacentral:rRNA from 1 species
UGGGGAAUAUUGGACAAUGGGGGCAACCCUGAUCCAGCCAUGCCGCGUGGGUGAAGAAGGCCUUAGGGUUGUAAAGCCCUUUCAGCGGGGAAGAUGAUGACGGUACCCGCAGAAGAAGCCCCGGCUAACUCCGUGCCAGCAGCCGCGGUAAGACGGAGGAUGCAAGCGUUAUCCGGAAUUAUUGGGCGUAAAGCGUCCGUAGGCGGUUUACCAAGUCAGUUGUUAAAGACUGCAGCUCAACUGUGGGCGAGCAACUGAAACUGAUGAACUAGAGUGCGGUAGGGGUAGAGGGAAUUCCCAGUGUAGCGGUGAAAUGCGUAGAUAUUGGGAAGAACACCAGUGGCGAAGGCGCUCCACUGGGCCGCAACUGACGCUGAGGGACGAAAGCUAGGGGAGCGAAAGGGAUUAGAUACCCGGGUAGUCC